GCCACGUUCUUGAUUUCUCCGGGACAUUCCAGAAGCUUCCAUGAAGACAUGGCUUCAUGGGCUUAGAUAUAUGAUGUCUUGGGCAUUUUCUUUGUUUUUAACACAUGGCCCGUGACACUAGGCAGCUUUAGGCGGUUUUAGGAAGUUUUUUUUUUUUAUUAUUUCAUUUUACCUGUUUUUAGCUUAAAGGAUUGGAAAUUUUGUAAAAUUACUUUGGACUUUCAGUCGUACUACUUUAUUAUUUAUAUAUCCUUCUAUGUUGCAUUUAUAUUUCCAAAUACAAUUUUAUAAUAUAUAAAUAUAUUUUAUAUAUUUAAGUAAUUGUAUAAGUAAUCACUUAUUUAUGUUUUAUUAUUAUGUUAUAAGUUUAAUAUAAAAAAAACUGCCUAGGUUCCUGCCCUAAUUUUUUUUGAACAAAAAUAUUAUAUGCAUUAAGUGGGGGAGUAAGAUAAGCUUCACAAUGAGCUGACAAUAACAUGGUUUAAAUUCAUCUUUGACGAGAGUUGAAUCUAGAAUAUCUCACUUACAAGUGAAGGUGAAUACCACUAGACCGUAGUACUAAUGCUUUUUAGAGCAUUCAAUUUUAUUUUUGGGUGAAUGAGUAAUUAAAUCUUUCAAAAUGUGGGAAUCACAUACUCUAAACUUACAAGUAAUCUUUUUUCAGCCGUUAAAGAAAAUCAUGGAGAAUUUAUCACUAAUAGUCAAAAUAUAAUAAUUCAUAAAUGUCAAUUUUUGUUAAAUAUUUCAAAUAUGACCUAAAAUUGAUGUCAAUUGACCAAAGUACCCUCAAAGUUAUAAACCAGCACCACAUCAGAUGUGGUUUUAUUUUCCUGUUCUUUCUUGCUUUCUUGUUCCGUUUAUUUUUUAGGGUUUUGAUUUUUCCAUAUCUCAUUCCGAGAAAGCAGAAAGAAAGAAAAGAGAUUUGAUACAACAAAUUGUCUAAUUCAAAUAUUAAUUGUCGAAAACUUACACCCGAGAUUAUGAUGAAAAUUUCACAAAACUAAUUUCUGUAUAGCCAUGUGUUUGGACCCAAAUUUACACCAUCGGCC
rnacentral:lncRNA from 1 species